UACGGAGGGUGCAAGCGUUAAUCGGAAUUACUGGGCGUAAAGCGCACGCAGGCGGUUUGAUAAGUCAGGUGUGAAAGCCCCGGGCUCAACCUUGGAAUUGCAUUUAAAACUGUUCGGCUUGAGUAUUGUAGAGGGGGGUGGAAUUCCAGGUGUAGCGGUGAAAUGCGUAGAUAUAUGGAGGAAUACCGGUGGCGAAGGCGGCCCCCUGGACAAUGACUGACGCUGAGGUGCGAAAGCGUGGGGAGCAAACAGG
rnacentral:rRNA from 1 species